UACAAAGGAAUUGGACGGGGGCCCGCACAAGCAGCGGAGCGUGUGGUUUAAUUCGAUGAUACGCGAAGAACCUCACCCAGGUUUGACAUGCAGUGUGGUACCAAGGUGAAAGCUGAGGGACCCUUCGGGGAGCAUGCACAGGUGUUGCACGGCCGUCGUCAGCUCGUGCCGUGACGGUGUUGGGUUAAGUCCCGCAACGAGCGCAACCCCUGUCGCCAGUUGUAUUUUUCUGGCGAGACUGCCGAGAAAACCUCGGAGGAAGGAGGGACGAUGUCAGGUCAGCGUGGCCCUUACGCCUGGGGCUACACACACGCUACAAUGGGCAGUACAACGGGUCGCGAAGCCGCGAGGUGGAGCUAAUACCCAUCAAAGCUGUCCUCAGUUCGGAUUGCAGGCUGAAACCCGCCUGCAUGAAGCCGGAGUUGCUAGUAACCGCAGGUCAGCAUUACUGCGGUGAAUACGUUCCCGGGCCUU
rnacentral:rRNA from 1 species